GCCAGGCAUGGUGGCGCAUGCCUGUAGUCCCAGCUACUCGGGAGGCUGAGGUGGAAGGAUCACUUGAGCCCAGGAGGUGGAGGUUGCAGUGAGCUGAGAUCGCACCACUGCACUCCACCCUGGGCCAUAGAGUGAGAUCCUGUCUAAA
rnacentral:SRP_RNA from 1 species